rnacentral:rRNA from 1 species
UGAUGCGAUCAUACCAGCACUAAAGCACCGGAUCCCAUCAGAACUCCGAAGCUAAGCGUGCUUGGGCGAGAGUAGUACUAGGAUGGUUGACCUCCUAGGAAGUCCUCGAGUUGCAUUCC